UAAGAAUUUAAAAGUCGAACAGACUUAUCUAUUAAGAAUACUGCUUCUUAAAAUAUUCUUAAUUCAACAUCGAGGUCGCAAAAUAUAAUAUAGAUAUGAACUCCCCAUUAAAAUUACGCUGUUAUCCCUAAGGUAACUUAAUCUUAUUAUCCUUAAAAGAAAGGAUCCAAACUUACAUAAAUAAAUGAUAAAAAAAACUAAAGUUAUUGAUUUAGCCACCACCCCAGCAAAUUAUAACUCAUUAUUAUAAAAUAUAAAUAAUCUAAACUGAAUAAUAAAAAUUUUAUAUAAAGUUCUAUAGGGUCUUAUCGUCCCAAUAAUCAACUAAAGCAUUUUAACUUUAAAUUUAAAUUUUAAUAUAUUUAAGAAAUAAAAUAUAAUUCUCAUACAUCCAUUCAUACAAGCUUCCAAUUAAGAAACUAAUUACUAUGCUACCUUUGCACAGUCAAAAUACUGCGGCCAUUUAGAUAUAAUUAAACCAUAGGGCAGAAGAUACUUUUUACAUAAAACCA
rnacentral:rRNA from 1 species